UAGACUGGACCCCAGAGUCUAUGUCAUUCAAAAAGCCACAUCUCCAAUUAUCCAAGGUUAAUUCUAAUUACUCCUAAUUACUCUAGUUAACCUAAUUUACACCUAAUUUUACCCUGCAGCCACAUCCACCCACUCCCCCUUUCAGCACUGCCGAACCUAUCAUCUUUGGGAGUCUUCUUCGACUACCACCGUCAAAUGUGCUUAGCGCCUCUGGUGAUUCCAUCAGCCACCAACCUAGUUGUUUCUGGGAAUCAGCUUCGCGUCGCCGCCACCGCUACAUGUCACCUUCGACGAUCCAUUGAAGACGCAUCCACUCCACCGAGGUAACUUUUGACGGCACCUAGUGUUGCUCUGCCUUCAUUUACGCCGUGGUGGAAGUGUCCUUGCAUCGCUGAUGCACUAGCAAGCGCCGCUACUGUUCGCCCUGAACAACCCUUGACAGCGAUGCUCCCAUCCUCGCUUCCAAGACGCCUCCCACAAGGUGUCCCUCCUCCGCUGCCGUCACCGCGUUCACAGUUAAUAAACAAGUUUUGGUAAGAUAUCAUCAAAGCAGACAAAAUCAUCCAACGGGUUUUGUCAUGUGAAUUUGUUGAGGGUAGGACUGUCGGGCUUCCUAUUAGUCUACAAAUGAUUGGUGGAGCAUCUGGUGAGUCUUGCAGGAAAAGCUUCUGAGAAUGGGACAUAUCUUUGACCAGACACUUGAAAAUUACAAAUUUCUUCCACCAAUUAUAGCCGAAGACAAGCUAGUAUAAAUGAUCCUUCUAUCUUUCGGCGAUCCAUAAAAAGUUACAUUAAUUCAUGACAAUAUGGUGGUUGAAGGAUUCAGUACUAUAUGUUGGUGGCCAGUGGCGGAUUCAAGGGGGCCUAAGGUGGCCAUGGUCCCCCCAAUUUUUUUUUUU